UACGUAGGGGGCAAGCGUUGUCCGGAUUUAUUGGACGUAAAGAGCGUGUAGGCGGCCAGGUAGGUCCGUUGUGAAAACUCGAGGCUUAACCUCGAGACGUCGAUGGAAACCAUCUGGCUAGAGUCCGGAAGAGGAGAGUGGAAUUCCUGGUGUAGCGGUGAAAUGCGCAGAUAUCAGGAAGAACACCCGUGGCGAAGGCGGCUCUCUGGGACGGUACUGACGCUGAGACGCGAAAGCGUGGGGAGCGAACAGG
rnacentral:rRNA from 1 species